rnacentral:rRNA from 1 species
GUCCACGCCGUAAACGGUGAGUGCUAGACGUCGCGGGUAUUGACCCCCGCGGUGUCGAAGCUAACGCGUUAAGCACUCCGCCUGGGGAGUACGGCCGCAAGGCUAAAACUCAAAGGAAUUGACGGGGGCCCGCACAAGCGGUGGAGCAUGUGGUUCAAUUCGAAGCAACGCGAAGAACCUUACCUGGGCUUGACAUGUUUGAGAACCCUCUCGAAAGAGAGGGGUGCCCGCAAGGGAGCUCUUUCACAGGUGCUGCAUGGCUGUCGU